UCAGGGACCUGUGAAUCCAUAGAAGAUUAAAAACAAUAAGACCUUUUACACACACAGGGUUUAGAUUUUACAUAAUCAGAAUCAGACCUGGGAAAUCAAGGUAAGUAACAAGUCAAAACAUGGCAAAUUACGAACCUUAGGUUUUCUGUGUUUUUAAAUACUUAUAUAAAUCUAUGUUGUAACAUUGUUAAAGUCAAACAAUAUAGGAGCUGGUAAGCAGUGCUAUGUUAACAAGUUAAAAAUUGCUCUCAAAAUUCUGUUCACUGUCAAAGACCUUAAGUACUAGGAGACACUGUAUGAGAGUGGUUCAGUUCUUUAGGUGUCUCACCGUUACCGUGCUCACUUUCGGAAAUGAAAUUGUUAAGGCAAAAUUAAAGGACCUUAAAAAACAAACAUGACAAAUGCAAAUUCUGAAAAUAUCCCUGCCUAUGAAAUUGUGAAAAUCCCGAUACCAAUGUUUCUGCAAUGGGUUAAUAUUUGCUUCCGUAUAUUAGUUUGAUUUGAUGGUUUGACUAUUUGGCAUAUGCCUGGAUUUUUCAGUUUUUAAAAGCAGUGUUCUCAAUACUACUUGUCCAUGGGCCAACUUGUACAAAUAUCACAAUCAAACAAAUACAUCUACUAGGAAAUCUUGUGAGCACAUUUGUGCUCCCCAGAGGAUGGACCCUUUCUAUUUGAAGUAUCCGAUGUGCUCAGGUUUGCUCACAGACUGUCAGAAUCUAAAAGACAAAUAUCCUACAGUUUGCUGAGACGUUGUCUCUCUCCUAAAAGCAUGAGGUUAGAGAAUUUAGCAGCUCCAUUUCUAGGAACUGCCGAAGUGUCACUAUGAUGUUCAGUAUGCCAAAAACUAGUAUUGGUGAGUUUAAUGAACGUUGGUCAGGUAGUAUUUAUUGCAUUACAUUACAUCAUACAACUUUUUUUAGUGCAUCUAAUUCUCAAUGAUGCUAAAAUAUGUACUUUUUCAAUAAAGCUGUAUUAAUGACAUCACAUGUUGGGAUUUUUUAAUGCUAUUAACAGGUGGCCAUAACCUCAAUAGGACAAUGUAACACCUAAGAUAGGGUUGCCUUGGUAGAGUGUGGUGACGUCAGUAUUAAAUCUUUAUGUUGGCGUGUUAUUUCCAGUCCAGCCAUGGGUUAAAAAUAAUAGGAGAUGCCAGUGUGUCAUGCAAAAAAAAGACUUCAGUUCCAACACUCAAAUGAGCAUUUACUGUUUAAGUUGUGCGAAGGAAACCUGUUUGAGACAAAGAGGAUGGUCAGUGUUUUUAUUCCAUGUUUGAUUUCAGCUCCCACACCAACAUCACUGAUGGGUGUGUUCAUGUGUGUAAUCUGUUGGACCAGACAGCAAUGUAAAAAAAAAAAAAAAAUGACUUGACAGUGAUAAGUGGAGUAGAACCAUGAGACAUAAAGGGUUUCCAUGCAGAUAACAUCACAUCAUUGAUUUUGUUUCAUGAGAGGAAACCAAAAAAUUUGUUAUUACUCAGAGUUGAAGGUUCCAGGUCUCUGCCACUCUAGCAGUCAAAUGGUGGACAUCUUUAAUUUAACUUAAAUUUUAACUUCAACUGCAGUUUAAUUUGAUCUUUAAUCUAACUUUGUGUUUUAGCUUGUUGCUUUUUGUAUUGUUAUAGUUUUUCCUGGAAUCCUUGACACUUCAUGCUGUGUUUAAUCACAUAAAGUCCAUUUAAACUUGACUUAAUUUUGAAUCUCGUCCAAAAUACUUUAACAAGGUGUCUGCAGGUCUCAAAAAAGUCUUAAAAAGCAUAGAAUUCAGAUUCCUAAUAUACAAAGUUUUAACUACUUAUACAUGCCUGCUGUAGGAAGUAAUUUUACUCAGUGAUUUUAUUUUUAUUUAUUUAUUUUUAAAUCUGAUUGCAGGCUGCUUCCAGAUGUUGAUGCACCUAUAAACUAAAGGUUUAAAACAAUUGAGCUAGUUGUUGAGCUCAGUGACUCAAAGUGUUGAUUUUAGCAAAAGCUUAUAUAAACAAAUGAAUUAAUCAUUUUUAAUUCAAUAAUCUGUCCACCCCUUUUCUACUGCUUACCCAGGUCCAAUAUAUUCAACGCACAAUGAAUUAGUUGUAUCAUCAGGAAUUAUACGCUGAUGGGAAAAAAUGUACCAAAUUAAUAAUUUCUAAUACUAGGCCAUAUCAUCCACACUGGUUUUCCUUCAUUCUUUAAUACAUUCGCUGGUAUGAUCGUAUUGAAUUUCGUGGUAUUAAAAAGUUACAUUGAACCAGGUGAAGCCUGCAGAAACCCUGUGUAAUCACUUUAAUCAGUGUUAAAGUGAAUCCUUACUAUAUUUGCUGUGGUGUUUUUUCACAUUUAA